AGGAUAACGGGUAACGCCCGCCCAGAGCGAUCUGAGGAAAAGUGCAACAGAGAUAUACCGCCAUUGCGGCUAAACUGUGCUGAUAAGGGACAUGGCGCCAUGUCCGCGGCAUCUGCAAAGCAGAGACGCGGAUCGCGGAGGUGUUGUGUGAAGAGGAACAAAGGGUUCCUCUUCACGAUUUCAAUCAACCCGCCGCAGCGGCCGAUUCCGAAGGAAUCGGAAGGUUUCCACCCUUACCAUUGCAGUUUAGCUGCAAUGGUAAGGGUGGAAAGGUGCGGUAAGAGCGCACCCGUCGGCUGGGAACAGUCCGACGCUGUAAACUCUAUCCGGAGCAACACCGGUAUGGGAGCAUACAGGCUGGCCCGGCCGCUCCCGGGGUGGCUUGAGCGUGCCGGCAACGGUACGUCGAGAUAGAUGACUGUCAAAUACAGAACCCGGCUUACAGUCUUGCUCG
rnacentral:RNase_P_RNA from 1 species